UUUAUUAGCUUGUAACAUUUUCAAACAUUUAGUGAUCAGUUAGCUAGCAGUUAGUAGUGGUUGUGGUUGAGGUAUGAAUGGUAAGGAGAAAAAAAAAAAAAGGGUUUUUUUUUUUAUACAUGUUAUUAAUUAUUAACUAGCACUCAAAAACGACAGAAAAAAUAAUUAACUAGGUGAUGGGGUUUCUUUUGGUGUUUUUUUUU
rnacentral:ribozyme from 13 species